rnacentral:rRNA from 1 species
UGCUCAGGACGAACGCUGGCGGCGUGCUUAACACAUGCAAGUCGAGCGGUAAGGCCUUUCGGGGUACACGAGCGGCGAACGGGUGAGUAACACGUGGGUGAUCUGCCCUGCACUCUGGGAUAAGCCCGGGAAACUGGGUCUAAUACCGGAUAUGACUGCAUGCCGCAUGGUGUGUGGUGGAAAGCUUUAUGUGGUGCAGGAUGGGCCCGCGGCCUAUCAGCUUGUUGGUGGGGUAAUGGCCUACCAAGGCGACGACGGGUAGCCGACCUGAGAGGGUGACCGGCCACACUGGGACUGAGACACGGCCCAGACUCCUACGGGAGGCAGCAGUGGGGAAUAUUGCACAAUGGGCGGAAGCCUGAUGCAGCGACGCCGCGUGAGGGAUGAAGGCCUUCGGGUUGUAAACCUCUUUCAGCAGGGACGAAGCGUGAGUGACGGUACCUGCAGAAGAAGCACCGGCUAACUACGUGCCAGCAGCCGCGGUAAUACGUAGGGUGCGAGCGUUGUCCGGAAUUACUGGGCGUAAAGAGUUCGUAGGCGGUUUGUCGCGUCGUUUGUGAAAACCCGGGGCUCAACUUCGGGCUUGCAGGCGAUACGGGCAGACUUGAGUGUUUCAGGGGAGACUGGAAUUCCUGGUGUAGCGGUGAAAUGCGCAGAUAUCAGGAGGAACACCGGUGGCGAAGGCGGGUCUCUGGGAAACAACUGAC